AUGCAGUCGAACGGAUCCUUCGGGAUUAGUGGCAGACGGGUGAGUAACGCGUGGGAAGCUACCUUGUGGUAGGGAACAACAGUUGGAAACGACUGCUAAUACCCUAUGAGCCCUAUGGGGGAAAGAUUUAUCGCCAUGAGAUGUGCCCGCGUUAGAUUAGCUAGUUGGUAAGGUAAUGGCUUACCAAGGCGACGAUCUAUAGCUGGUCUGAGAGGAUGAUCAGCCACACUGGGACUGAGACACGGCCCAGACUCCUACGGGAGGCAGCAGUGGGGAAUAUUGGACAAUGGGGGCAACCCUGAUCCAGCCAUGCCGCGUGUGUGAUGACGGCCUUAGGGUUGUAAAGCACUUUCAGCAGUGAAGAUAAUGACAUUAACUGCAGAAGAAGCCCCGGCUAACUUCGUGCCAGCAGCCGCGGUAAUACGAAGGGGGCUAGCGUUGUUCGGAACACUGGGCGUAAAGCGUACGUAGGCGGGCUGAUAAGUUAGGGGUGAAAUCCCGGGGCUCAACCCCGGAACUGCCUUUGAUACUGUCAGUCUUGAGAUCGAGAGAGGUGAGUGGA
rnacentral:rRNA from 1 species